rnacentral:rRNA from 1 species
UGAACCUGAGAGUUUGAUCCUGGCUCAGAGCGAACGCUGGCGGCAUGCUUAACACAUGCAAGUCGCACGAACCUUUCGGGGUUAGUGGCGGACGGGUGAGUAACGCGUAGGAACCUAUCUGGAGGUGGGGGAUAACAUCGGGAAACUGGUGCUAAUAC